rnacentral:tRNA from 2 species
CGGAUAGAAGCAUAAUUGGAAAUGUGUCUACUUUGGGUGUAGAAGAAAGUGAGUUCGAAUCUGACCUAUCCGA